rnacentral:rRNA from 1 species
AGAGUUUGAUCAUGGCUCAGAAUCAACGCUGGCGGCGCGCUUAACACAUGCAAGUCGAACGAGAAAGUGGAGCAAUCCAUGAGUAAAGUGGCGUACGGGUGAGUAACACGUGGGUAAUCUACCUUUUAGUGAGGAAUAACGAUGGGAAACCGUCGCUAAUACCGCAUGAGCCCGAGAGGGGAAAGCAGCAAUGCGCUGAAAGAGGAGCCCGCGGCCGAUUAGCUAGUUGGUGAGGUAAGAGCCCACCAAGGCAGAGAUCGGUAGCCGGCCUGAGAGGGCACACGGCCACACUGGCACUGAAACACGGGCCAGACUCCUACGGGAGGCAGCAGUGGGGAAUCUUGCACAAUGGGGGCAACCCUGAUGCAGCGACGCCGCGUGAGCGAUGAAGCCCUUCGGGGUGUAAAGCUCUUUCGGCAGGGAAGAUGAUGACGGUACCUGCAGAAGCAGCUGCGGCUAACUACGUGCCAGCAGCCGCGGUAAUACGUAGGCAGCGAGCGUUGUUCGGAGUUACUGGGCGUAAAGGGUGUGUAGGCGGUUCUUUAAGUUUGGUGUGAAAUCUCCCGGCUUAACCGGGAGGAUGCGCCGAAUACUGAGGGACUAGAGUGCGGGAGAGGAAAGUGGAAUUCCUGGUGUAGCGGUGAAAUGCGUAGAUAUCAGGAGGAACACCGGUGGUGUAGACGGCUUUCUGGACCGUAACUGACGCUGAGACACGAAAGCGUGGGUAGCAAACAGGAUUAGAUACCCUGGUAGUCCACGCCCUAAACGAUGCAUAUUUGGUGUGGGUCAUUCAGUUGAUCCGUGCCGGAGCUAACGCGUUAAAUAUGCCGCCUGGGGAGUACAGUCGCAAGGCUGAAACUCAAAGGAAUUGACGGGGCCCGCACAGCGGUGGAGCAUGUGGUUCAAUUCGACGCAACGCGAAGAACCUUACCUGGGCUCGAACGGCUUCUCAACGGCUGGUGGAAAACAUGGCUAC